UAGUAUAAUUGGAAGUACGAGGGGUUUUGGGCCCUUAAGUGCAGGUUCGGGGCCUGUUUUUCUA
rnacentral:tRNA from 1 species